CAAUCAUGGACAAAAGUGUUAAUAAAAUCGAUCGACAUUUUAGGAAACUACAAUCAAAUAACUUCGUAUAUGGCCCCCCCACUCAAUGUUGCCAUGAUUUUCCUCUCAUUUUAAACGUAGUUCAACAACAUUGUGUUGGGGGAGGGGGGGGGGAUGUUUUAGACAAACUACAGGAAUUAAACUACAAUUUAAACUCUCACAGAGGCAAAUUAAAAUUUUAUU